CGCGUAGGCGGCUCAUAAAGGCUGUGGUGAAAGUUCGGGGCUCAACCUCGAAUCGGCCGUGGCGACUUGUGGGCUGGAGCACUGUAGAGGCGGGUGGAAUUCCGGGUGUAGCGGUGGAAUGCGUAGAGAUCCGGAAGAACACCAGUGGCGAAGGCGGCCCGCUGGGCAGUGGCUGACGCUGAGGCGCGACAGCGUGGGGAGCAAACA
rnacentral:rRNA from 1 species